AUAUAAACAUAUACAGAUAUCACAGGUAUACAUACAGAUAUUACAGUUAUAUAAACAUAUACAGAUAUCACAGGUAUACAUACAGAUAUUACAGUUAUAUAAACAUAUACAGAUAUCACAGGUAUAGAUACAGAUAUUACAGUUAUAUAAACAUCUACAGAUAUCACAGGUAUAGAUACAGAUAUUGCAGUUAUAUAAACAUAUACAGAUAUCACAGGUAUAGAUACAGAUAUUACAGUUAUAUAAACAUA